rnacentral:rRNA from 1 species
AGAGUUUGAUCCUGGCUCAGGAUGAACGCUAGCUACAGGCUUAACACAUGCAAGUCGAGGGGCAGCAUUUUAGUUUGCUUGCAAACUAAAGAUGGCGACCGGCGCACAGGUGAGUAACACGUAUCCAACCUGCCGAUAACUCGGGGGAUAGCCUUUCGAAAGAAAGAUUAAUAUCCGAUGGUAUAUUAAAACCGCAUGGUUUUACUAUUAAAGAAUUUCGGUUAUCGAUGGGGAUGCGUUCCAUUAGUUUGUUGGCGGGGUAACGGCCCNCCAAGACUACGAUGGAUAGGGGUUCUGAGAGGAAGGUCCCCCACAUUGGAACUGAGACACGGUCCAAACUCCUACGGGAGGCAGCA